rnacentral:rRNA from 1 species
GACGAACGCUGGCGGCGUGCUUAACACAUGCAAGUCGAACGAUGAUGCCCAGCUUGCUGGGUGGAUUAGUGGCGAACGGGUGAGUAACACGUGAGUAACCUGCCCCUGACUCUGGGAUAAGCGUUGGAAACGACGUCUAAUACUGGAUAUGACUGCCGGCCGCAUGGUCUGGUGGUGGAAAGAUUUUUUGGUUGGGGAUGGACUCGCGGCCUAUCAGCUUGUUGGUGAGGUAAUGGCUCACCAAGGCGACGCCGGGUAGCCGGCCGGAGAGGGUGACCGGCCACACUGGGACUGAGACACGGCCCGGACUCCUACGGGAGGCAGCAGUGGGGAAUAUUGCACAAUGGGCGAAAGCCUGAUGCAGCAACGCCGCGUGAGGGAUGACGGCCUUCGGGUUGUAAACCUCUUUUAGUAGGGAAGAAGCGAAAGUGACGGUACCUGCAGAAAAAGCACCGGCUAACUACGUGCCAGCCGCCGCAGUAA